CCCAAUCAGCCACUUUCUCUCUCUUCAUUGUGAUUAGACCUUCUCACUUCUUUCUCUCACGGUGAACACCGACGAUGUCACUUCCCGGCGACAUCUCGUCAUUGUCCGGCCAUUUCAGGCUGCACCACAUUUACGACAAACAUUCAUCUCUUCCUCCUUUGAAAAAACCCAACCCAUAUCCAACCUUAAAAUCGAGUGGAUAGCAAGAUCUUUCAAUCCAAAAACAUGCCAAAAACAGUUUCAAUCAUCACCGAAUUUUUAGAGCUCGGAUCGGCGGUUCCGACCACCUUUGGUCAUGCUUCCUUCACCAAAAAUACUCCCCAACCUCCCCUUUAUCUUUUCCCUCAAACACCCGAACUUUUACUUUGUAGGAAAAGCCCAAUUGAUGCCAAAGAAAUUCUAGGGUUUUCUCGUCGGAAAACCUCCAAAUACGGCCACUUCUAGCCACAUCCGAGCAUCGAUGCAGGUUCCCAAGCACAGCCUACUGCUUCAGAUGCACCUAACCUGGGUUGAGUUUGCUUGGACUCUAAGUGAUUGGACGUUUGUUUUCUAAUCAAUUUUAUGAAAUAUUGGAUUUAUGAAUGUUAUGCUUAAUCUUUUACUUUCCAAGCAUGUUAUAUAUGAUUUAUAUUCAGAUUUGGAUCAAGAACUAUUUUGAAUGUUAUGCAUGUUCUUAAAUAAUGAAAGGCUUGGAAAGUUGAGAAAGGAUUUGGGAAGAGAUUUUAGAAAUGAUGUGAGCAACAAUUGUAGGGGAAGGAUAUAUGGCAAGUUCAUGAUUGGUUUUCAAAUCUACCUUAUGUACCAUAUUUGGUUGCCUUUGGAUAAUGACAUGUCUUCGGACAUGAUUACCCGUCGAGGGACUCAACAUCAUCCCUAUUGCUAUGUCAAGAG
rnacentral:lncRNA from 1 species